rnacentral:rRNA from 1 species
UACGGAGGGUGCAAACGUUGCUCGGAAUUAUUGGGCGUAAAGCGCGCGUAGGCGGUUACUCAAGUCGGAUGUGAAAGCCCUCGGCUUAACUGAGGAAGUGCACCCGAAACUGAGUAGCUAGAGUACUAAAGAGGGUCGCGGAAUUCCCGGUGUAGAGGUGAAAUUCGUAGAUAUCGGGAGGAACACCGGUGGCGAAGGCGGCGACCUGGGUAGAUACUGACGCUGAGGCGCGAAAGCGUGGGGAGCAAACAGG